GCAUUGGUAGCUCAAUUCCAGAGCACCGGUC
rnacentral:tRNA from 1 species